UCCCACUAUGACCAAUUUCAAGCUACCCAGUGAAUGUCAUUUCAUACAGAUUUGGGAAGGGAUGUGUCCCGUUGGCUUUCAUCAGCUGGUACAACAUGGCACAUCCCUGCAAAGAGUUUUCAGGGACAGAAGACACACAGAAGUUGUUUCCAUUUGGGGCUCUUCUAAACACCUGCAUUUGGACUUUAAAACAUUGUAGAUACAGGGAAGGUGAGCUGUUUGAGGAUUUCUCUUCCUUUCUUUCGUUUUUUGAUUUUUUUUUUCCAAAUGAAAAAUAAAUUAAGACUCCACUGAUAACAUGAAGGACAAUACCAUUUAUAUCCUCCCAGAUAUGUUUUACACUAAAGACCACUGAGACCAAGUCCUGGGCUGCUUCAAAUAUGGGAUGCUUCACGAAGCCAGCACAUCAAAUGACAAAUCCAUCUAGGGGCUUCUCUGCUCUCACUCUUGAAUUCUGAGACACUGGGAAAGCCACUUAAGCCUGUUUAGUCUCCGUUUCCUCAUCUUUGAAACAAGAGAAAUGGAAGAAAUCUUGGAAACUUUAGAGAGAAGUCAGGCAGCAUCCCUGCCACUGUCCAGACACAGCAGAGGAGGGAUCAACACUCUUCUCUCCAUUGAAUUUGAGCUGCCACUUCCUGACUGUAUAACUCAGUACGUCAGCCAGUUGAACCUUGGUUUCCUUAUCUGAAAAGAUGGGAUAAUAGUAAUUAUCUACUUCAGAGAUUUGGAAAGAUUUCUAUAAAGUAAGUACCUUGCCUGUGUGAGAUACCUCUUUGGGAAUUGCUAUAAUCUUCACAUGUCAGAGAGCUAACCCAGGUUGCUAAUUAAUCAUUGAUGCUGUCACUCUGGAGUACUAAUGGUUGCUGACACAGCAGUUCCCUUUUCUUCUCUCUAGCAUAACUUUUUUUUAGGUAUUCACCCCUCCCCAUGCAGCCAUAGGCUUUAGUCUAAGCUGAU